GGCUCCGUAGCUCAGCGGUUAGAGCGCGCCACUCAUAAUGGCGAGGCCGGUGGUUCGAAUCCACCCGGAGCUA
rnacentral:tRNA from 1 species